rnacentral:tRNA from 1 species
CAAAAUAGAACUUUAUAGUGAAGUAUUUCAUUUACAUUGAAAAGGUUUCUGUGCGAUUCGGGAUGUUUUGA